AAAAAUUUGGACACCAUCUUAUGGCACGUAGAAUUAAGGAAGCACGUGAGAAAUUAAGAGUCCUUAACAAUUAAGACUCUUCCAUAAACUCAAUGCAUAUAUGAAAGGAUAUCUAAUUUAUUUGGCAUUCAAACUCCUUGCUAGAGAAGAACUCUUCCUUCUCUUCUGUGCCCAUAAUCCCAAGAGGCAUCUCAUGUCAUGAAAA
rnacentral:lncRNA from 1 species